rnacentral:snRNA from 1 species
UGCUUUGCGCAGUGGCAGUAUCCCAGCCAAUGAGGUUUAUCCGAGGCACGAUUAUUGCUGA